CACUAAGCGGAGGAAAAGAAACUAACCAGGAUUCCCCUAGUAACGGCGAGUGAAGAGGGAAAAGCCCAGCACCGAAGCCUGUGGCAGUUUUGCUACUAGGCAAUGUGGUGUUUAGGUCGGCUCGCGGGAUCGCCACUCCACUCGAAGUCCAGCCUUGAUUAUGGUUGCCAGGAAUUGGCCCAGAGCGGGUGAUAGGCCCGUACGGGUGGAGGUGUCAGAUGAGUAAGGCGAUUCACCAGGCCGGCCUUAGAGUCGGGUUGUUUGCGAAUGCAGCCCAAAGUGGGUGGUAAACUCCAUCCAAGGCUAAAUACUAGCACGAGUCCGAUAGCGAACAAGUACCGUGAGGGAAAGUUGAAAAGUACUUUGAAGAGAGAGUAAACAGUACGUGAAACCGCAUAGAGGUAAACGGGUGGCGUCAAGCUGCAAGCCCAGAGAAUUCAGUCGGUCAGGGUGUUGUGUCUGCGCCCAGCGCAGCUAUCAGUCGGUGAUAAGGACUAGUCCGUCGGCAGAUGGCGGGCCCAGCUGUCACAGGUUGGGAUUUGCGUUCCGAGUGUUAGUCGGAGCAAGCUAGUCGUCCGUGGGACUGCCUGGCCGAUGCACUUUCUCUGUGGUGAACACCACGACCGGUGGAACUGCCAGUCUACCUUAGCCAGCUUCGUCGCCCGCUCGGGCCUUCUUGGGUCGCGGAGCGGGCAGCGAUCACAGGCAAUCUCAGUGCACGGUGCUUGCGGGUCUCCGCCCGUAGGCAUGUUAUCGGGAACUGGUUGUCAGCGGGUCGGCCCGGACACUGUACUGUAGUCGCAGUGUGCAUUCUGGGUGACUCGGUGGGCUAUGGCGGCAGGAGAAGCUGUGCAGGGCACCGGAGAUGUCGGUCUGUUUACGACGGUCGCGCACGCACUACAGCUUGGCGUGUGCCAUGCAGGGCACUGAUAGCGUUGCCAGGGCCUGCCAACGCCCGGGUCUGAUCAUCGUGUCGCCUGUCAAAAUGACGGGUCCGAUGGUGGUCUGGAGUUGGAUGGUGCCUGUGGGCAGCGUGGUCUUGCUGCGACCGUGCUUAGAGACCAGAUAGUCAGUGGUGUAGUGGUAGACGAGCUACCCGACCCGUCUUGAAACACGGACCAAGAAGUUCAACAUGCGCGCGAGUCAUGGGGUCCUACGAAACCCAAAGGCGCAAUGAAAGUGAAGCCUUGCCGUGCUCGUCUCUCUUCUUAUGUGGGGGCGGCCGGCCGGCAAGGUGUGGUGAGAUCCCGCUGUUUCUCGCAUGCACUUGUUUGUGACGAGGACCCGCAGCUGGGGCUAGCUCUAUGUGUGUGUGUUUGUUCUCUUGGACGGACACACACACACAUGAACAACUAGACGAGCAGUGGGCGCAUCACCGGCCCGUCCCAUGAUGUGGCUAUUGGUUUCAGCAGUGGUUGGGCAACUGACUGCCUGUCUGGCCGGUACGUCAUCGGGGCGGAGCAUGAGCGCGCAUGUUGAGACCCGAAAGAUGGUGAACUAUGCUUGCGUAGGUUGAAGCCAGAGGAAACUCUGGUGGAGGACCGCAGCGAUUCUGACGUGCAAAUCGAUCGUCAAACGUGAGCAUAGGGGCGAAAGACUAAUCGAACCAUCUAGUAGCUGGUUCCCUC
rnacentral:rRNA from 1 species